rnacentral:rRNA from 1 species
AACGAACGCUGGCGGCGUGCCUAACACAUGCAAGUCGAACGCGAAAGGGGGCAACUCCCGGUAGCGUGGCAGACGGGUGAGUAACACGUGGGUAACCUGCCCCGAGGUGGGGGAUAACCCUCCGAAAGGAGGGCUAAUACCGCAUGACCCCUGGAGGUCCGCGGAUCUCCAAAUCAAAGCUAGCCUCUGCUUGCAAGCUAGCGCCACGGGAGGGGCCCGCGCCCCAGUAGCUAGUUGGUGAGGUAACGGCGCACCAAGGCGACGAUGGGUAGCCGGCCUGAGAGGGCGAUCGGCCACACUGGAACUGAGACACGGUCCAGACUCCUACGGGAGGCAGCAGUGAGGAAUAUUGCGCAAUGGGCGAAAGCCUGACGCAGCGACGCCGCGUGGAGGACGAAGGUCUUCGGAUCGUAAACUCCUGUCGAGCGGGACGAAGCCGGAGCGGUGAACAGCCGCUUCGGUUGACGGUACCGCUAAAGGAAGCCCCGGCUAACUCCGUGCCAGCCGCCGCCGUAAAAC